ACCUUUUUCCCUCUCUCCCUCUCCCUCUCCUUCUUUCCCCGCCCUCCCCUUUCAAUCUCAUACACUUUCUUUUUCUUUUCUUCAAAUAAUAACCUUUUCUAGCUCAUCUCAGGUACCUUUUGAAUCGCUUGGGAUCAAUAGUGAAUAAAAAUCUUUCAGAUAUUCUCCUUGUCUUUAGCCAAGCAUAUUUAACAACUAAACAAAGGGGGAAGGGUGCGGGGAGGCUUGAAUUCGGAGACUUUUCUUUAAAAAAAAAAAAAAAAAAAAAGUAAAGGCAAAAGAUCUUUCGACAAGUUUGUAAAUAGAAUUGCAGAGAGAAUCCUAAAAGAGGAAGACAAGAGAAAGAAAAAAGGCUUGAAACCCACAAGUUGCACAAAAUGGUGCUCUGCCUGGAAAAAUAAAAAAGAAGACAGAGAGCUAGCUGUUCUUAAAAAGUGAAUCCAAAGAAACCAAGAGAGAAACUGGAGGGGAAGAAGGGAGAGGGAGCGAGGGAGAAAAAAGGAAAAUAAAAGACAGAAAAGGUAAAAGAAGUUUCCAAAGAAAUGUGUGCUUUCCCUUCUACAAUAGGAAAAUGUAGCCAUGGCUCUUCUUUAGACUAGACAUUUCUAAUUUGUUCCGUCUGUCAGAAGGGGACUAUGAGAGGUUUUGGUGCAAAUUCAUUAUCUCUGGCAACGCAUAACGUAUAGUAGGAACUGAAAAAGACCGUGGCAAUGGAUGAACAAUAGGGCUUCAGUUCAUCAGCAACAAAAGCAUUGGGGAAAUUGGUUGAAUUUCAGAGCACGUCCUCCUCAGCAGAGAGGGCUGGACUAGACCUUGGCCAACCCCCCCAAAAAACUUGCAGAGCCUCACAUACAACACUUCACUCUCUACUCUGGGGCUUAGGGAGCAAAUAUCUGACAAGGAAAAAAAAGUUGUGUUUUUUUCUGCUGCUUCUUUUUCGCCCCCUCCCCCACCCCAAGAUGGAAUCAGCUCUAUUUAAACUAUUUUAGACUCAAUCAAGCAAGAAUAAUACUAUGGAAUUUAGCGGCAGUUUUAAACAGUGGUGAAGACAGAAGCGAUCUGAAUUUUUGGAGACAAGAAAGACAUCUGCAUUCUGUGCUUCAGUGGGGGGCUUGACCAUGGGAUCUUUUCCUCCUGCCGGAGACUUAUAUCGCUACUCGCUAGAUUUGAGGGCAAAUUGGACUUGCAAAGGAAGAAAACCUAUGAUACUACAAAGAAGCAUAAUAAUGAAUAGACAAACACCACAAGCAAAGACCGGGGGCAGCAGCACGCCAGCAAGACGGCAUCUUCUUCUUCCCAGCCUAGGAGCCCUGUGAAAUCGAGGAUCUUCCCCCCCUUAAAAUACACACACACACAAGAUAUUUGCAAUCAAGCUGCCUCCAUUUGGUAAAAGCUCACGGUGCAUAAUCCAAAAGGAUCAGGAGCAGCUCCUUGAAUCAGCUUGUCACUUCUUCUAUAAAAUGGGAUUUUUUUUCCUCUUUAUACUGCGCUGGAAAUUGUCGAUGGCUUUAUACAUCUCUAUAGAGGGAGGCUAAAGAGUCUUUCCUGAGAAUGAAGCAAUUUACAAUGCAAAUAGAGGCCUGUGAAGGGAUGGAUGCUUCUCACUUUUAACAGCCUGAUGCACCCUAAUAGCUGGUUUUAUUUUCUGAUAUUAAUAGAUGAAUUGUUGGUUCUUGCUGCCGGAAAUUACUUGCUGAAAGAAAAAAAAAGUUCGGAAUAAACUUUGAAGGCAACAGAUCUCCUUUGGAUGUGUAUUAGCUGCACAUACGCCCUAACGCAAAACAGGUCAUAAUUGCACGAAAGGAUGCAUCUUUCAAAGCACUGCGAAUACUCUUGGAGGAAGCCACACGUCUGUUUAUCUGAAGGAAACUGGGAGUCUGGAUUCUAGCAAGAGAGCAAAGUCUUGUGAGGGAAGUGAGUUGUUAUCUUUGGUUAUCUAGCUGUAUGAGUGUAUUGGUCUUCAUAAAGCUAGAUAACCGAAAGUAAAAACUCCUUCAAGAUCUUCGAGGAGCGUAUGAAAAUGAAAGACCACUUCAAGAAACAGUAAAAACAAGAAAGGUCAGGAAUACUUAUUGAAUCUAACGUUUUUACGGCUAAAGGUGGGAUUAGAGGAAGUUAAAUGACACGAGUAGAACAAAAUAUGAAGUUGUCAGAUGCUUCGGGAUGAGUUGUUAAAAGUUCAAACCAAGAAAUGUGUAGUCCUUAUGGUUAAACAAUGCAUGUGCAACUUUUACUGUUCUACGACACAAGUUCUAUUUUAAGGGCUGGUCUUUGUUUUGUGUUUGUUUUGUUUUUGCUUUUUAGAAAGAUGUGUAGAGGAUGUUGCAUAUCUAUUUAAAGAAUGACUCUAUAUAGUUAAAAGACUUAUACAAUAUAUGACCCUUUUCCCUUCCCUGAAAAAGCAAUAUGACACAAUUUGGAAAUUUUUUCUGGAAAUCUCUAAAAAUAUAUUUGGGUUAAAUUUCAAGUGAUAAGAAAUCAGGCUUUGAAAGAAAGUUUACACUUGAGUGUAGGGAAGGUUAAUAAUUUAUAUCUACUAAGGACUUGGUGAAGCUGCAGAAAAUGGAAAAAAAAAAAAAAGAGGGAUGGCUGAUUUUUAUUCUUCUAUUCAAAAUGCAAGGACAGAUGCUUCUCUGUUCCAAGAGGGUUUCCUUGAGGAAGCUACUGAAGCAGAAAGACAUGAUGGAGACGAGAUCGCCUCCCCCCUUGUCAAAGUGUUAAAAAAUGUUCUGUGUCUUACUCUGCGCCUAGCAUUGGAAAUGAAAGUGACAUUUACGCCAAAACCCACGUGUGCGCCUCCUCUUUUUUUGUUUAAGGAUGAUCAGAUCUAUCCAGGAAACAGCUCUGGCAUCCCAAACUGAAAUAAUUAGGACGUAUAUAGACCUGACAAAAAUGGAAAGGGGGUGGGGAAUCUGAGGGUCUGUCUUGCCUAAUUGAUUCCGCUAAACGGAAUGCAGGAGAUGUGAACGGCUGGACGCUCCUAUUCCCACGCUCGGGGGCAAGUGGUAAUGCCGCGCCCCGGCAGCCUAUGACAGACAGCCCUGUUGGGGGGUGGGGGUAUGAAAAAAACAUCAAGUGCACCACACCAUACUCAUCUCCAUCGCUUAAGAAAGUAGAGGCAUUUCCCACCCACAGCCAUCUGCAGGCUCCCAAGUGGGAACACCAACUGUUCUCUCGCUGCUGCAUACUGUCUGUUUCUGUUAAUUCUAUAACCACUGUUUAAUCUGCCCAUAAUUAAGUUUGGCUUUUCUUCUGGAGUUGAGAUUUCCAGUAUUUAGGAUAAAGAAAAACUAGCAUAAAGUAAUUCCAAGAAAGUCUCCUUAUUUGUAAUAUCUGAUUGCUCUUUAUAUCAAAUUGGCAGGUAUCAGAUUUUGGCCUUCCAAACAACUCGCGUUUUUUUGAGGGGUGGGGUUGGGUGGUGGUUUUGGUUUUGGUUUUUAACACCUUGUAUAAAAUAUUUCUCAUUACAAUUAUGAUAGGGUGGCUACCUUUACAAGUGUUGAGACAACACCACAGCUCACAAGUGUAGAAGCUUAAUCUGAGUUUGCCACUACACACGUUAGAACAUUCGUGUUCAGCAUUACAGGAAGCAGAUUUUUAAAAUUCUAAGAUCAAAGGUUGUUUUGACAACCCACACAUAUGCAUAUCCAAUAAAGAACCAUUUUUCUUAGUCUAAGAGUUACUGUACUUAGAGGAGAACUUUGUCACCUGGAAAGAUUCUAUUGCAAGAAUAUCUUAAAACACCCAUGUUUGAUCACAAAUCACUUAGUAAACAUAAAUACCUGUAUAUUUGUUUAAACACACACAUAAACCAUGCACAUAUGUAGGGAGAGAAAAAAUCAUGACCAAGAUAGGUGUUACUUUCCCAAAUGGGCCUACAUGACUUCCAGUCCAAAAUGCAGUAUUUUUUUUUUCUUCUCAAGAGCAGUACAGUUUUUUUUUUCUUAGUAGUUUUAGCUCCUGGCAAUAUUUAGGCCUCAGGGAGUAUGUUAUUUUCAGUUAGCACUCUGGCAGACUUUAUUUACAUAAAUUCCCACUUUGGCUGCUAUACACGUGCCAAACUUUUACUACUGUAGUGACCGAGGAGAAGACCCUUGUUUAUUUACAUUUGAAGCUCUGUUUGUGCAAACAACCUUUCAUUGUUAAGUGCCUGUAGGCCUUUCAUUUACUUCAUGUCCAGGGGUGCUAUUUACCUAGAGCCAUUGUCUACUACAAUUAACAUUUACAUUACAAAGUGUGUGGUUUUCUUUCUCAAGGAGGUUCAAUUAAGGCAAUAAGAUGUUUGCUGGGGAAACCUAUUGUUUACUGAAAGCACUCAAUGGAGUCAAAUUACUUAAGCUUUUGCCUGAGUCUUGGUCUUUUAUGUAAAUGUGUUAAAUAUAACAUCUAAGGAAAAUAAACAAUAUUAUAAUUAUGUGUUUGCCAUUGUCAUAUCAAACUUGCUUUGUACCAUACUAAUGUUACAUGACUAUCAAUCAAUAAAAUACAUUUCAAUGUUUUUUUUUUUUUUUUUACUGUUCCACUGCUCUGCUGAAACAUGUCCCAAUUUUUCUUUUUAUAUUGCACAUCAAACUUCUGACAUUUUGUUUUUGUGUUAAAGGAAGUAUUGUAUAUCGGCUUGUAUCUGAACAGGUUUAAAAGAUCAUCUAUAAAAUGACCUUAUAAUAAGGUGAUAUUUCUUUGAAAUUUGAAAUAUUGCAGUGGCUUAUAGAUUUAAGUCAACAGAAGUGUAAAUAUCAGUUAAGUAGUUCUUUGAAAGCUAGUUUUAACAUUGGCAGAAACCGGAUCAAGUUUAUUUAGCAUACCACUGCAUUGUCAAACAGUUGGAGUGAAGUUGCAGGUUGCGUGAGUAUGCAUGUUAACUAGUGGGAACCAAGGCUUAUUCUUUGUGAAAGGGGAGCAGCAGAUUGCUGUGCAAGGCCAAUGUUAAAAAGGCAGCUGAAUUUAACACCAUCUGGAAGAAAAGAUCCCUUCACGACUUUCUCACACCGUCAGACAAAACUAGUGUCUCUUGUUCUGAGCCCUUGUCUAUGCAACCAUACAAUACUGAGUCAUUAUACUUUUGCUGAGAGAAAAUUUGAGAACACAAUAUGGGUAACCAGUGAAUGACCAAGUUUCAUUGUGCCCGCUUAAGUCGAUUGAAAUCUACGUCUAGAGCAAUGAAUGGCAGUAUUGUUUUCCUCACCAGGGCUGUACUAAAUGUCAGCACAGUGUAAAGAAAAACUUGAAGUCUGCAAAUAACUUACCAGAUCUCAAUUAUAAUAUUUUCCCACACUAGAACUAAUAUCAUUGCGAAGGGGUACAAUGCAGGAAAUGCCAAAAAAAAAAAAAAGUCAAAAAUAAUGAAUUUACUUAGAAGUUAUUUUAGUAAGAUAAACAUUUUAAUUUUCUGAUGGAUAGUAACUUGAAUUCAGUUUGUGGGUUGGGUUGAGAGGUGGAAUCUAUUACAGAGAAACUCAUGCUAUAAAGAUGCUUUUUAUGUAAUUAAAACAAAACAAAAAUACUUUACUCUAUUCCACUCCCCCCUUGCCCUUCCUACCCCUUCAAAUAAAUAGUUGCUGUUGUAUGGUCCCUAUUGCUAAAGUUCAGCAUGGAACUGGUAGUGUGUAUCAAUGUGCUGCCAGCUCAGGUUCUAGUUUGUAUUUUGACAAAUGCUGCUCUUCCAAAGUUUAGCAUUAUGAUUGACAUUGCAAAGGGACAGAGCAGACAUACAUCCCCAAAGAUAUGCAAGUCACUGUUCAGAGCCUCCUGAUGUGGAUCCCCAUGCCCUUAGAAAUACUUCCCCUUUUGAAUUAACUUUUUCACUUACUAUUUUUACUGUUAUCUUUGCAAAUCAAUUUUUAACUUGAAGUUUCAACAUUCACACAAACCAUUUGGCAGCAAACAGUUUAGAAGAAGGAAAGGAAGUAGUUCAAAAAGAUUACAAGGAGUUGAUUAUAUAUGUUUUAUUAGGAUGUCUGUUUUAAAUAUAAUUGACUUUGCAAUCUUCUUAUUGUCACCAAGUGUCGCAUAGUUCUUAACAUGUACUUGCAAAACAAUGAGUAAUUGCUGUUUUGCUGAAUAAUACAUCUGAGUUGCCAACGUCAAACAUGUUAUUUUGUAUAUUUCUAAACAGGAAUGUUAACUGCAGGUUUUGACAUUCAGCAUCUUUUCAGGAAAUACUUAGAAAUAGACUCUUAAAAUGAUACCUGUAAAAAGUAAACACAAAGAUAGAGCAUGAGCAAGAUUUUUAUUAAUCCUCUUUAACUAACCACAACAUUAGCAAAGAAAAGGAACUCAAAGAUAGAAUGAUUUAAAAAAUAGCUUUAACAGAACCUAGAUUUAAAAAAAUCAAAACAAAAACAAAAACAACAACAACAAAAAAAGGAAAUCCUAUAAUAGUGAGAGUACUGUUUCAAGGUUUGUGAAUGGGUAUAUUCGCCAGGGCAUCAAUCCCCUUUUGAGCUUACCAUUAGUAUGCAUUGUAAUGAGACAAAUGCAUUAUUUAUAUUUGCAAUGGCUUAUUUCUCAAAAUGUUUCUCUUUCAUUGUUUUUAACAGUGCUUAUAUAUUUUAUAUGCUAUUAUUAGUGCUUUGGUGCUUUCAAAAAAAAAGAGAUGAAAGUGAAAUUCUAUUUUGUGUGUGUGUAGUCUGAUUAUGUUUUGUAAAAAGAAACCAUUGAAAUAGUCAGUAAAUGGAUGCUUAUUGUCUUUGCAGACUAAAUAUAACUAAUGAACAUUACAGGAAAUAUUUACUUUUUAAGAACAAUGACCUUUAAAAACUCAAUAAAUAAGGGUCUUAUGAUGGUUACAAU